GAACGCGAAGAACCUUACCUGGAUUUGACAUCCCCUGACCGUCCAUGAAAGUGGGCUUUCCCGCAAGGGACAGGGAGACAGGUGCUGCAUGGCUGUCGUCAGCUCGUGUCGUGAGAUGUUGGGUUAAGUCCCGCAACGAGCGCAACCCUUACUGCUAGUUGCCAGCGGGUUAUGCCGGGCACUCUAGCGGAACUGCCGGUGUCAAACCGGAGGAAGGUGGGGAUGACGUCAAGUCCUCAUGGCCUUUAUGUCCAGGGGCUACACACGUACUACAAUGGGUCGGUACAGAGGGGUUGCAAUACCGCAAGGGUGGAGCCAAUCCCAUAAAGCCGGGCCCCAGUUGGGAUUGGGAGUCUGCAGCUCGACCGCCG
rnacentral:rRNA from 1 species